UGGUAAUGUUGAGAUAUUCAAUCAGAGAUGAAAAAAAAAAAAAUGGUAUCAAUUUAUCCUACCUUUGAUAAAUAGUUUUUCACCCGAUUGACAAUUGGUGGAGUGAAUUUUUCAAUCUUCGUAAUAACGGACGAGGUGACUUCUGUUGGUACGGGGGCUGCAUAACAUUAACCAAACCAUGGGAAUUUAUAGGGAGUACUGGAACACCUUUAUUAUUCUGGGAAUGAAAGAGCGGAACAACUGGCAAAACAAAAAGGUACCAGAGGAGAAUGGGGGUUAGAAUUGGAUACCGCAGGAUUUCAAGCAAUCUAAAAUUUCUAAAUUAGCAAAAAAGCAUGUAAAAGCGAAAGCUUCAAAUUAAGCGAUUAAAGACUAAGAAAACACAUUCAAGUUCUGCAGAAAGAAACAUUCGAAAUCAAGAGAUAAAAUAAAUAUUUUAAAAAUAUAUAGGUAAUAAUAAG